GUGGAACAAGGAAAGAAAGCGCGAAUACACGCAGUUGAGAGGAGCGGUGCUGGAAGACAGUUGUCAAUCAGUACACUGAGAAGCCUCGCGUUGAAACAAAAUACAGUGUAAUACAGUGAUGGUGUUCGACAUGCGCCCAAGGAUGACCGCGCUACGCAAUAAUUGAAACGGCGGUGCAGCAGGGGAGAGUUUGUUGCUUGUCGUGUGCGUACGGGCGAGCGCGGCACAUUAGAAGUGUGGUAGGUGAAUCGUUCAAGUGAUGUGCACUAUUUUUGUUAGCUUUGGGGAUCUCUAGUGGAGUGGUGAGUGACU